rnacentral:rRNA from 1 species
AUUGAACGCUGGCGGCAGGCCUAACACAUGCAAGUCGAGCGAGCGGCGGACGGGUGAGUAAUAUAUGGGAAACUGCCCGAUAGAGGGGGAUAACUACUGGAAACGGUAGCUAAUACCGCAUACCAUCGGAUGUACCCAGAUGGGAUUAGCUAGUUGGUGGGGUAAAGGCUCACCUAGGCGACGAUCCCUAGCUGGUCUGAGAGGAUGAUCAGCCACACUGGAACUGAGACACGGCCCAGACUCCUACGGUAGGCAGCAGUGGGGAAUAUUGCACAAUGGGCGCAAGCCUGAUGCAGCCAUGCCGCGUGUAUGAAGAAGGCCUUAGGGUUGUAAAGUACUUUCAGCGGGGAGGCGUUACCCGCAGAAGAAGCACCGGCUAACUCCGUGCCAGCAGCCGCGGUAAUAC